rnacentral:tRNA from 1 species
CGAGCUACCAUGGCCUUGAGGUUACGGGAUUCGCCUUGUAAGCGGAAGGUGAUUGGUUCGAUUCCUGUAUGGCUUGG